AUUGUGUUGUUUGUCUCUGAAGCCGCCUCAUGACCAGCAAAGGGAUUUCACCUCGUCCUUGAGAGCAACACGGGGAGCGCGAGCGAGCGGGCGAGCGAGAGACGGGGGGAGAGAGAGGGACACGCGCGCGCACACACACACACACCGGCACACACGCACACACACAGACACACACACACAGAGUGAAAAAGGCGAGCCACCAAAACCCAUCUCCAGUCUCCUCCCGGGGGCCCCCAGCCCGCCUCUGUGCCACUUUGCAUCCCACGCCGGAGGAGGCAUUAACGAGACCGGGUAAGGCUUUUUAAACGGUCCAAGGUGUAGAGCCAUACUUCAGGAGGAUCCUCAGAAGUUUUGGACAAGCCUCCCCAAAUGUGGCAGGUGCUGUGCUGGCCAUUGGUGACCCAAAGAUGAUGAAAAAUAUGUUCCUGCCCACAAGGAGUUAGCGACCUACUGGGCUUUCCUCUUGCUGAUGACAUGAUUCCUGUUUGAAUCUGUUGACAAGAUUCUGAAAGCUGAACAGAGAAUUCUGGCACUGCACUGGGUAGGAAAAAGCAUUUCAAGAAAUAGAUAAUAUCAAGGACAUCAGGACACCGGGAGUGGGAGAGAUUGGACUGGGAGACUCAGCAGGUCAGGACAUUUACAUUACCAUUUGCUGGUCAUUCUUUUGCCAUCAGUUUUACAAUUCUCAAAUCUCUUGCCACUUGCUUAUUUCUU
rnacentral:lncRNA from 10 species